GCGGGAGUAGCUCAGUGGUUAGAGCGUCAGCCUUCCAAGCUGAGGGUCGCGGGUUCGAAUCCCGUUUCCCGCUCCA
rnacentral:tRNA from 1 species